CCUACGGGAGGCUGCAGUGGGGAAUAUUGGACAAUGGGCGCAAGCCUGAUCCAGCCAUGCCGCGUGAGUGAUGAAGGCCUUAGGGUUGUAAAGCUCUUUUGCCGGGGACGAUAAUGACGGUACCCGGAGAAUAAGUCCCGGCUAACUUCGUGCCAGCAGCCGCGGUAAUACGAAGGGGACUAGCGUUGUUCGGAAUCACUGGGCGUAAAGCGCACGUAGGCGGAUAUGCCAGUCAGGGGUGAAAUCCCGGGGCUCAACCUCGGAACUGCCCUUGAUACAGCAUGUCUUGAGUCCGAUAGAGGUGGGUGGAAUUCCUAGUGUAGAGGUGAAAUUCGUAGAUAUUAGGAAGAACACCAGUGGCGAAGGCGGCCCACUGGAUCGGUACUGACGCUGAGGUGCGAAAGCGUGGGGAGCAAACAGGAUUAGAUACCCCAGUAGUC
rnacentral:rRNA from 1 species